CAGCAGCCACGGUAAUACGAAGGGGGCUAGCGUUGCUCGGAAUGACUGGGCGUAAAGGGCGCGUAGGCGGUUUGUACAGUCAGAUGUGAAAUUCCUGGGCUCAACCUGGGGACUGCAUUUGAUACGUGCAGGCUUGAGUGUGGAAGAGGGUUGUGGAAUUCCCAGUGUAGAGGUGAAAUUCGUAGAUAUUGGGAAGAACACCGGUGGCGAAGGCGGCAACCUGGUCCAUUACUGACGCUGAGGCGCGAAAGCGUGGGGAGCAAACAGGAUUAGAUACCCCAGUAGUCCCUGUCUCUUAUAC
rnacentral:rRNA from 1 species